rnacentral:lncRNA from 1 species
UUGAUGGAGUUUUGUUUUGUUGCCCAGGCUGGAGUGCAGUGGCACUCAGCUCACUGCAACCUCCGCCCCCAGGGUUCAAGCAAUUCUCCGGCCUCAGCCUCCCGAUUAGCUGGGAUUAUAGGCACCCAGCUAAUUUUUGUAUUUUUAGUAGAGAUGGAGUUUCACUAUGUUGGCCACGAGUUUGAGACCAGCCUGGGCAACACAGCGAGAUGCCGUCUCUACAAUCAAUCAAUCAAUAAAAAAUAAUAAAAACCAUAACAUGCUGUCUUGCAGACAGCCUAGACUUUCACACUCUAAGGAAGAUAGCAACUCUAUAUUCUGUUCAUAUCCUGGAAGACAAAUGGUGAAAGAGAGCAUUCUCUCUCAAAAGUAGCCCCAUUGGAGACAUUCUGAACUACUCCAUAGCCCAUUUCUUCUCCACCUUCCACCCCAUCCCUGAAAGUUCAC